ACCAAGUAGUAUUGCUUAGUACGGCGAGUGAGCGGCAAAAGCUCAAAUUUGAAAUCUGGUACCUUCGGUGCCCGAGUUGUAAUUUGGAGAGGGCAACUUUGGGGCCGUUCCUUGUCUAUGUUCCUUGGAACAGGACGUCAUAGAGGGUGAGAAUCCCGUGUGGCGAGGAGUGCGGUUCUUUGUAAAGUGCCUUCGAAGAGUCGAGUUGUUUGGGAAUGCAGCUCUAAGUGGGUGGUAAAUUCCAUCUAAAGCUAAAUAUUGGCGAGAGACCGAUAGCGAACAAGUACAGUGAUGGAAAGAUGAAAAGAACUUUGAAAAGAGAGUGAAAAAGUACGUGAAAUUGUUGAAAGGGAAGGGCAUUUGAUCAGACAUGGUGUUUUGUGCCCUCUGCUCCUUGUGGGUAGGGGAAUCUCGCAUUUCACUGGGCCAGCAUCAGUUUUGGUGGCAGGAUAAAUCCAUAGGAAUGUAGCUUGCCUCGGUAAGUAUUAUAGCCUGUGGGAAUACUGCCAGCUGGGACUGAGGACUGCGACGUAAGUCAAGGAUGCUGGCAUAAUGGUUAUAUGCCGCCCGUCAUGAAACAA
rnacentral:rRNA from 1 species